AUGGCGAGGCAGGAGGCCGCGGGGGCCGCCACGGGGGUGGACUUCCACCUGCCCGACGAGAUCCUGGCCGUGAUCCCCACCGACCCGUACGAGCAGCUGGACGUCGCGCGCAAGAUCACCUCCAUGGCCAUCGCGUCCCGCGUCUCCCGUCUCGAGGCCGACGUCGCGCGCCUCCGCCGGGACCUCGCCGACCGCGACCGCGGCGACGCCGACCUCCGCGCCCGCCUCGCCGACUCUGACGCCCGCCUCCUCGCCGCGCUCGACGAGAACGCGAAGCUGGUGAAGGAGAGGGACACGCUCGCCCUGACGGCCAAGAAGCUGUCGAGGAACUUGGCAAAGUUAGAGGCAUUUAAGAAGCAGUUGAUGAAAUCUCUGAGUGAAGAUAAUUUAUUGCAAUUGUCAGAAACAGGCGAAGAUCGUGAUGUAGAUGCAGAAAAUAGUGGGACCGCUCGAAGUCCUUCCUGGAAAGAUGAAGUUUCAAGCAGCCACACCUCUUCAAAUACUUCAAGCAGAUCCACGAUCACUGAAUCAGCCCAAGGAUACCAGUUCUCAAUCACACCAUAUGUAGCCCCCAGGAUAACUCCUGGUUCAACACCAAUUAUUUCAUCCUCUGGUGGUUCCCCAUUAGCAUAUUCAACUGGUCCAUCCACUCCGAAGUUCUAUUCUGGUCCAACGUCGCCUACAAGAUCUCGUUCUGAAGACCAAUCAGCAUUUUCAUCAUGGAAUGGAUCAAGUCAUCAGUAUUCAGCCCCCGUCUCUCCUCAACGCCGCUCAUUUACAGGGCGACCUCGUAUAGAUGGAAAGGAAUUCUUCCGACAAGCACGGACGCGACUUUCUUAUGAGCAAUUUGGAGCAUUCUUGGCAAAUAUCAAGGAAUUUAAUGCGCAGAAACAAUCGCGAGAGGACACCCUAUCGAAAGCAGAGGAGAUUUUUGGAACAGAGCACAAAGAUCUAUACAUUUCUUUCCAGAAUAUGCUUAAUCGCAACCAAUCGUGA
rnacentral:rRNA from 1 species